rnacentral:rRNA from 1 species
UACGAAGGGGGCUAGCGUUGUUCGGAUUUACUGGGCGUAAAGGGCGCGUAGGCGGCGUGUUAAGUCAGCUGUGAAAUCUCCAAGCUUAACUUGGAACGGUCAGCUGAUACUGAUGUGCUAGAGUGCAGAAGGGGCAAUCGGAAUUCUUGGUGUAGCGGUGAAAUGCGUAGAUAUCAAGAGGAACACCUGAGGUGAAGACGGGUUGCUGGGCUGACACUGACGCUGAGGCGCGAAAGCUAGGGUAGCAAACGGG